GGCCUCUAGCCUACAACAAGUAUUAGAGGUCCAACCUGCCCAGUGAACUUUCAACGGCCGCGGUAUUCUAACCGUGCAAAGGUAGCGUAAUCACUUGUCCCUUAAAUAGGGACCUGUAUGAAUGGUUACAUGAGGGUAUAACUGUCUCCUGAGGCCCGUCAAUGAAACUGAUCUCUUAGUACAAAAGCUAAAAUAAACCCACAAGACGAGAAGACCCUGUGGAGCUUCCAAACCACAGCACUGCUUUACACACCCAAUAAUUCCCCCGAACAUAUAUCCCCUUACAACAGUGCUCCUUUUAAGUUGGGGCGACUACGGAACCAAAUGAAACUUCCGCGCACCGGACUAACCGUCCACCAAGACUCACAAGUCAAGACUAAACCACUGACCCAGUACAACUGAUCAACGAACCAAGUUACCCCAGGGAUAACAGCGCCAUCCCCCUUAAGAGUCCCUAUCGCCAGGGGGGUUUACGACCUCGAUGUUGGAUCAGGACUUCCUAGUGGUGCAGCCGCUACUAAUGGUUCGUUUGUUCAACGACUAACGUCCU
rnacentral:rRNA from 1 species